AACGUGCGUUCAACGUGACAGGCGAGAGGGCGGCCUCUUCAUAAUUUUCAAUCUGUUCCACUUGUCUUUCCCAUCUGUCUACCAUGUACUUGUACAUGUAGUCAUGGCUUAGGUGUGGCUUGUGACAGGUGGGCCUCUGGGUUUCCCAUGCUCAAGGCAAGGGAAACUGUCUUACUUAACAGUGUGUGUCUAAAAAAAUCUGGCUUUUUUGAGAGUGCAGUAUUUAAAAAACAAAACUGUACUAUCAAUUUCUAUAAAGUUGUUCGAGAAUUUAUAUGGGUCCCAAAUGUCCUUUCUGACUGAAGUCUGCAGUAAAAGCCACUGUCAUAAUAAGUACUAAUUUGUUAUUUGCCCUAUUUUGCUUUCAUUCUUUAAGAACAUACAAGUGGGUGCUGAAGAAAUGGCUCAGUGGUUAAGAGCACUGACUGCUCUUCCGGAGGUCCUGAGUUCAAUUCCCAGCAACCACAUGAUGGCUCACAACCAUCUGUAAUGAGAUCUGAUGCCCUCUUCUGGUGUGUCUGAAGACAGCUACAGUGCACUUACAUAUAAUAAAUAACUCUUAAAAAAAAAGAACAAGUAAGAGUUUCUCCAUAAGCUGUCUGAAUAUGUCACAGCAGGUUGAGUAUCAGAAGCAAAUAUGAAAAUUCAACCAUCUUAUUCUGUUGAGCCAGAUAUUAGGUUUGCAAACAAAUCACUUUUUUCACCUCACUGUAUCUCUAUCCCUGGUUUGUAAAAAUUUUAAGCUUGAAAGGAUAUAUUAUUACUAAGAUAAGUCAUACCUAUACAGAGAUGUUCCAAACCUAGUUGUGACAAAACAAUACAGAUUAUAUAGAUCAAGAAGUUGACAUAGUAUAGCAAGGCAAUUUGUCUGUUUCUUGGUGAAUCAACCUUCAUGUGGGAGGUUUGAAUGCCCUAUUUCAUCAUGAUGAUAAGACUCUAACCUAGAAUGAAUGACCUGAGUAGUAGUGUUUGAAGACCAAGCAAGUUCUGCAUGACCAAGCAGAGGGUAUAAGACUUGGGACCUAACCUUGUGCCAUUUCCACAGCACUGUUAAUUGAAAUAAUUAUGAACCCACCUCGAGUCAAGGGAAGGAACAUAAACUCAUUGUGAAAAGCACUGCAAAGAAUUUGCAGCUGUAUUUUAACAACUUUCAAAAGAAGUUUGAUGAACUAAAAUAUUGUUUACAUUGAGUUAUUUACUAUGUAAAGCAAUAAUUAUUAAAACAAUACUUGUUCAUUCUGUCAACAUUUUGUGCCAUAACCUUGUUGUUACUAAAGUGAGUCUUUUCAGUCCAUGGCCAUUGCUUUAUGACCCUCAUUUCAUGCUCCCUGCCUGGCUAAGAAAUAAUUCUUAGAUCAUCAAUAUUUACCUCUUUUUUUUUCAGUUCUUGAUCUUCCUUCAAGAUACUUUUCUUUUUCUUUCUCCAUCUCCCCCCACCCCCAAACAGAGUUUCUCUGUAUAGCCUUGGCUGUCCUUUAACUUGCUUAGAGAUCCACCUGCCUCUGCCUCCCAAGUGCUGGAAUAAACGUGUACACUGACAUACCUGACAAGAUACAGUUUCUUAAUUUUCUUAUAGUUUAAAUAUGGUAUGCCGAGGUCUUAAUUUUUGUCACUCAUUUUGCUGCUACUGCUGCUUUGAGCUCCCAGACUCUCUGGUGUUGUAUCUUGCUAAUUUAAAAAAUAAAAUAAAAUUCAGCUUUUAUUAAAUAAGACAUUCUUCUGUUAUUUUCUUAUUUUUUCAUUUGUUUAAUGAAAGCAGGUUUUCACUCAUAGUGUUCGCUAUCUGGGAUCUUUUGUGUUCCCAUAUAAUUGAACAUAUCUUUUGUUCAGUUAUUUUGAAGAAUUAUGUUGACAUUUCUAUAGUGAUUGCAUUGAAAUUAUAGAUUGCCUUUUUGUUGUUGUUGUUUUUUUCAAGAUAGGAUUUCUCUGUAUAGCCUUGGCUGUCCUGGAGUUCCAGGACAGCCAGGGCUACACAGAGAAACCCUGUCUCAAAAAAAAAGAAAAAAAGGGGCUGGUGAGAUGACUCAGUGGGUAAGAGCACCCAACUGCUCUUCCGAAGGUCCGGAGUUCAAAUCCCAACAACCACAUGGUGGCUCACACCAUCUGUAAUGAGAUCUGACUUCCUCUUCUGGUGUGUCUGAAGACAGCUACAGUGUACUUACAUAUAAUAAAUAAAUAAAUCUUUAAAA
rnacentral:lncRNA from 1 species